rnacentral:lncRNA from 1 species
AUUUUUUCUAAAGGGUGAUCUGUACAGCACACUCCUCCCAGAGGACAGUAGAAAUGGAAGAUGACUGGGGGAUUGUUCCUGGCUCUUUUCCAAGAAGUACUUUGCCUCAUUUGGCUGCCUUCUUGAGAGCUGGAUAAAGAUAGUAUGCAGAGACUGAAAUCACAAAGCCUCCUCGGUGGCAGGAAUGGUGGCACCCUGUGAAGCGCAAGCUCAGAGCAAGGCGCUGCCGCAACUGCACUUCAAUCCCAGCGGCGUGGAGUGCUUCCCUAAUCUUCCCAGCCCUCCUCCCAUCCGCAGGGCCAGCCUGGCGCUCAGCCUGGCCUUCGACCCCGACAGCCACAUUGUUCCCCUGAUGCUGGACACGCCCAGCGGUGAAUGCAGCUCGGCCAGCCAGGAAAACGGCCUCAGGGAUGCCUUCUCUUACGGCUUCCAGAAUCAAGGCUUCAGUUCCCCAGUUUCCUGCCCUUACCUGGAGCAGCUGGAGCCUACAGACAACCUGGAGGCCACCUACUGUCAGUACAGCAGCCAGGGGGGAACCUAUCAGCUCUCCCAGUUGUGUCACCAAGGUCACCUGGCCAGCAAUAUGUUCUCCAGUGACCACCUGCCUCCUUCAGCACUCCUGGAAUCCCAUCCAACUUUCCCUGAUUUACCUGGGAACAGUGGAGCCAUAACCUAUGGAGCCACACAAGGUUAUGUACAAAACCACACGGAGGGACCAGUCAUGCCACAGCAGCCAAGUGGCAAUUCAGACAUCCCUGCCUAUCCAGCUGUGCCCUGGAGUGAUUUCUACAUGCAGGAAGCUCCUUUCUCCAAUCAGUUGCAUUCCCAAAUGCCUUUUUCUAGCAUGGCAGGAGGGCAGUACUUCACAGAGCCAUAUCUCCUUCAAGUGGCCAACGGAACAGCACUGGAAUCCAUGCCACAGACUGGAAAACAAAAGAGACUGACACUACCAGAGCAAAAUUCUUACCAGAGCUACCAAACAGAGCCAGAGUUGGGAGCACUCGCUGCAAAAGAGGACUUGGAGAGCAGCAGCAAGAAAGGAAAGGGUACUGCUGAAAUUAAAGAAUAAACUAAUGACUAAUGCUGCACUCUGAGAAAAAAAAAGAAGAGGAAAAAUUGCCAUUUUAAACUCUGCAAAAGAAGAGUCAAAAAGAGACAAAGAUAAUAUUAUUUGCAACAGAUUAAGGAAUUUUUUUAUUUCUUUUUCUGUUUUGUUUUGGUUUUUUUUUGUUACCAUGGGUAUUUUCUUGCUGAUGAAAGAAGCAGGGAUAUUUCACUCAAUAAAAGUUCCCGCUCUUUUGUUUUUGGUUUUUUU